rnacentral:rRNA from 1 species
GACGAACGCUGGCGGCGCGCUUAACACAUGCAAGUCGAACGGAAAGGCCUGCUUUCCCUUGUGGAUUGCGGGUACUCGAGUGGCGAACGGGUGAGUAACACGUGAGUGAUCUGCCCCCAACUUGGGUAUAAGCCUGGGAAACUGGGUCUAAUUCCCGAUAGGACUGCAGGGUGGUGCCUGUGGUGGAAAACGAUUUUCUAGUGGUUGGGGAUGAGCUCGCGGCCUAUCAGCUUGUUGGUGGGGUAAUGGCCUACCAAGGCGGCGACGGGUAGCCGGCCUGAGAGGGUGGACGGCCACAAUGGGACUGAGAGACGGCCCAGACUCCUACGGGAGGCAGCAGUGGGGAAUAUUGCACAAUGGGCGGAAGCCUGAUGCAGCGACGCCGCGUGGGGGAUGACGGCCUUCGGGUUGUAAACUCCUUUCGACCGCGAGGAAGCCACCUGGUUGGAAGGGUGGUGACGGUAGUGGUAGAAGAAGCACCGGCUAACUACGUG